rnacentral:lncRNA from 1 species
GGUCUCGAUCUCUUGACCUCGUAAUCCCCCCAUCUCAGCCUCCCAAAGGGCUGUGAUUACAGGCGUGAACCACCACGCGCGGCCUGUCAGGCCUCUGAGCCCAAGCUAAGGCAUCACAUCCCCUGUGACCUGCACGUAUACAUCCAGGUGGCCUGAAGCAACUGAAGAUCCACAAAAAAAGUGAAAAUAGCCUUAACUGAUGACAUUCCACCAUUGUGAUUUGUUUCUGCCCCACCCUGACUGAUCAAUGUGCUUUGCAAUCUCUCCCAACCUUAAGAAGGUUCUUUGUAAUCUCCCACAACCUUAAGAAGGUUCUUUGUAAUCUCCCACAACCUUAAGAAGGUUCUUUGUAAUUCUCCCCACCCAUGUAUACUUUGUGAGAUCCACUCCCUGCCUGCAAAACAUUGCUCCUAACUCCACCGCCUAUCCCAACACCUGUAAGAGCUAGUGAUAAUCCCACCACUCUUUGCUGACUCUCUUUUCGGACUCAGCCCGCCUGCACGCAGGUGAAAUAAAUAGCCUUGUUGCUCACACAAAGCCUGUUCGGUGGGCUCUUCACUCGGACGCACGUGACACGGCCCAGAGUUUUACUAUUUCUCAAAUCAGUCUCCCAGCAUUCAGAGAUCAGAGUUUUUAAAGAUAAUUUGGCGGAUAGGGGCUUGGGAAGUGAGGAGCGCUGACUGGUCAGGUUGGAGACGGAAUCAUAGGAGAUCAAAGUGAGAUUUUCUUGCUGUCUUCUGUUCCUGGGUGCGGUGGCAGAACUGGUUAGGUCAGAUUAUGAGUCUGGGUGGUGUCAGCUGAUCUAUCGAGUGCAGGGUCUGAAAAGUAUCUCAAGUACUGAUCUUAGGUUUUACAAUAGUGAUGUUAUUCCCAGGAGCAAUGUGGGGAAGUUCCGACUCUUAGAGUCAGAGUCUGCAUGACCCCUAAACUACAAUUUCUGAUCUCGUAGCUAAUCUGUUAGUCUUGCAAAGGCAGACUGGUCCCCAGGCAAGAAGAGUCUUUUCGGUUAAGGGCUAUUAUCAAUUUUGUUUCAGAGUCAAACCACGAGCUGAAUUCCUCCCCGAAGUUUGUUCAGCCCACGCCGAGGAAUGGACAAGGACAGCUUAAAGACCAGGCAUCUCCGUCCUGCCUUCCCCUGGAUAACGCAGU